UCUUCCCCUCCCUUCCUCAUUGUCUCUCUCUGUCUCCCUCUCUUUCCCUUAUACUAGCUAGUUGUUGAGCACUCAGUCCUGCAGCUGUCAGAAAAUCUGAAAAUGUAGGUGAAUUUUGAUAAUGUCUGCAAGGACAACAUGGACUGUGAAAACACAAAACUUCACCCUCCAAGUUCCAGACUAUGGACCCACUAGAUUUCUUCAGCCUCAGUCCCUGCCUUCAUCCAAUCUGGGGUGCUUGCCCCUUGUCACCAGGCAGUGGGCUGGGCGUGAAGACUGAGUCAGGAGGGUGGUGCACCUUCUGUCCUCCAACCGCUUACAGCGUCUGGUCUCCCCAAACCCACAGGCAGCAUGUUGGUCUCUGUUCCAUCCGUUCCCCCUGCAGCCUCUCUCCUAAAGUCCUCACUGGGUGGAAGGUGACUUGGAACCUCUGCUGGAUCCUCACUCACGGGCCCAGCAUGGUGUUGCCCUCUCGCCCUCACUGUUCCCAGGACUUCGGGGCCUGGUGAAUACCACCACCAUCUCCAUGUCCACCGCACCCAGUGUGUGGCUGACCAACCAGGACUUCAUGAAGAUACUGGACGUGUACCUGUUGGGGGUGAUCAAGGCAUUCAUUGGGAAGCUCCCUUCUAAGUUCUUGGUGUCAGGAUGGACUUGGCGACUGUAGAGUUUGAAUGAACUUACUCUGCCCUGGAAGUUGGCCCACACUCAGAAAGUGAGGAAGGAGCUCUCCUACUUUGGGGUGAAGGAGGAGAUGAUCGAGCCUGGUUACUUCAAGACCUUUGUGACCAGCCCUGAGGCAAUUUCUCGGGGCCUCCAGGCAGCAUGGGAUCAGGCCAGCUCAGAGGUCAAGGAACUCUAUGCGGAGACAUUCCUGGCCUCAGACAUCAAAAUAACUGAAAGUAUUUUGAAAAAAUGCAAGUUGAAUCUCUGUCCUUGGUCAUGAACUGCGUGGACGUGCUCUGACCACCUGCCACCCACGCACCUGAUGAUACUCACCUGACUGGGAUGUCAAGCUCAUCUACUUCCCAAGAGCUACAUACCCUCCUUCCUGAUGGAUGCCAUGGUCUACUGGAGCUCCUCAAGGGCCAGAGCCCUGUGAAGUCAAGGUUGGGGUGUAUGGGAGGUCUAUUUGGGUUGCUGUGUGAGGGAUGAUGCUUCAAGAGAAGGGAAAAAAGGUGGAGGGAGGGAGCUUUCCAGUCUCUAAGGUCAUGCAGCUCAUCCUCCUCCUUAUCUCUACUCCAGGCUUCUUCUGAGGCUCUGGGGAUAUUAGGAAGAAAGGACCAAGUUUUGCAGCUGAGGAACAGGGAGCCAAUAGCACACAUCUGUGCCCUGGUCCUUGAGCAGCCUCUCAAGGCUCUGAGCCUCAUGGCCCUCCUGCCACCCUGAGGAAUCUGCACUGUUUGGAGGGUGUAAGCCGCUGGGAGGGGGCUCAGCCCCACCUGCUCUACCUGUGUUCAUCUCCUCAGAGUGUGCCUUCGUUUCCUCAUCCCACAGGAUGGAAAUGGCCUGGAAGAGGCAAAGGGUCCUCUCUCCACUGAAAGUACCUGCGAGCAGGGGUUGGGGAGGCACAAGGCAACCACCAGCCUGACCCAUCAGCCUCAUGUGCCAGCUGAAUAAGGAGGCCACUCAUCAGAGUGGGCAGCAUUCUCAGUCCUAGGAGAAGAGCCCUCUGCGUGGUCCUGCAGCCCUCCCAACCCCCAUUCCAUGGCCUGCAUUUUUCUGAUGUUGGGAGUUUGAGUCCAGGGAAGUGCUGCUUAAGCCAGCAGUCAGCAGACAGGCCCAUGAGAUGGUGAGUCAGGCCUAGGCCUGCGCUGGGACAGUUCCAAGUCAUUCUUUUUCAGGUCUAGAGACAAAACCCUGGAUCUCACCAACUGGGACUGUCUGAAGAACUGGGACACUCCUGGGCCUGCUCAGCCCUUGAGUGACAUUGUCUGACUUCUUCCAGCCAAGACUUCCUUGUUCACUCACCAAGGAGGCAGACAGACUUCUGAGAUGCCUCCCAGACCCACUGUAGGCAGUGCUGUGCCUUGGGGUGGGUAUGAAGUAGGUGAGGUUCGCCUCCACCUCCCACCUCCUACCUCCAUACCCUGCAGGCUUUGGGUCUGCUCCCCAGGGCUGGGUCCAUGAACUGACCCCCACCCCCGCUACUCCCACCACCCUUGUUAUAGAAUGGCCAGACUCUCUGAGAUUUGUGGUGACAUUCUGGAGCUGACUAACCUUGGUAGAUAGAUAGCAUAGAGCAGAGAGACGCAUUCUUUUCCCUUCACUCUAGAGAACUUUGUGGCCCCAUUUCUGUGUCAGACCCUCUAGACAGCGAAGGUGUAGGCUGUUGUCCCUGGUCCCUCAGGAUGAGCCUGGGCUCUUUUCUUAGGCCUGUUCUGAGACAUGGUGACCCUAGAGGUUUAUCCAAAGAUAAACCACAAACUCCAGCAUAAUUCUGCCAUAUUUUAUGCAGCCCUGGGCAUGGCCCCUCACUACUCAUACCUCUGUCUCAUAUCCUUGCUUCCUUUUCUUUACUGGCUUCCCUUCUACCUUUCUGUGUGUUCUUUGCCCCAUUGCCUGGAAUCUCUCCCUUCCCUCCAAGUCCUGACCCUGAGAGUUUUCUAAGUCCCUGACCUCAGUCCUCUGCUCUUCCCAUAUGUCAUCCCCUCUCAGGGCCAAGGACUUGGCCCCAGGCCCUUCCCACAGCUGCCCAGGGAAUUCAUGAGCCAUCUUCAUCAUCUGGCUGGACCUCAGUCUCAGUAACGCUCAUAUCAGAACUCUCUAUUCUCCUGCCUCUCUCCCUAUGCCCAAAGUGUCUCCUCCUGACUUUUCUUGACACCUGUGGUUCAACCUGUUAUCAGAAUCAUUUUGACUCCUGGCCUCCCUUCCCUCUGCGUUUUCCAUGAGCCACUGUGUCAGUUGACUUUACAGUCCCUUCCUUUCACUGACAUCACCCCCCUUCAGGCUCCUCAGCUCACCUAGUGUGUAUCUGGUCCUGGAGGUAGAAGAAAAAUGCUCACUGGGGGCCCUGCCCGGGGGAGCUUAUGUGUCCUCAGUCCUUGACUCCCUCCAUUUGCCUGGUUGCUGGGUGAGGGGGGUGCUGGACCCGCUUGGAGUGCAGUGGGGACUCCUCAUUGGUGACCUGAGCAUAACCUCCCCAGGACCCAGGCCCUGAGCCCCUCAGGGGUUUCUGCUUUCUGGGAGUUGGGGCCUCUCAUAACCAGUUUCCCUUAAGCGGGGGCCUACUGCCUCUGACCUCAGGACAAUGAAGGCACAUCCACCCUGGGGUAGACCCUUUAUUUCUCAUCAUCUCUCGCAAUGGAGACUCACCUAAGGACAGAGAAUUCCAAAGAGCUGAUAACCUGGAAUUCAUUUCUCUUGGGGUUUGGAGGGCACAAAACCAAUUUUGUUUGUUUUGCAUUAGUGAAUUUGUCUUAAUUUUUCCACCGAAAAUAACAGUUACAUUUCUUCACAUGCCCGCAUUCAUGACAAAGGAUUUUGAUCCCUGGGCUGGAAGUGGGGGAUUUCCAGGAGGAUCCUCUGGGCUGAGUCCUCCUUCCUUCUUUCCUCUGCUCAGACCACCCAGGUGAGCCACUUCUCAGCACUAACAUCACCACUGUGGUUUCUCCCAUCCUUGGCAUCUUCACCCAUUAGGGCUGGGGGAGACAGAGAGGGAGCCACCAGGGCUGUCUGAAGUGACAAAGCUUCAGGUUGGACUUGAAUUUCUUGCAUCUAGGCAAAUUGGCAUGGUGAUGCAUCCACCUAUACAAGUUAUAGAGUGGCUCACCCAGCGGCCGUGCAUCUGUCGCCAGCAGCAGAAGGGAGGAGAGCUCUUCUCA